rnacentral:tRNA from 1 species
AUUAUUUUGGCAGAUUAGUGCAUUAAAUUUAGAAUUUAAUUAUGUAGGGGGCUACAAAUAAUAC